UGGUCAAGUUAUUAAGGGUGCAGGGCGGAUGCCUUGGCACUAGGAGCCGAUGAAGGACGUGAUAAGCUGCGAUAAGCUUCGGGGAGUUGCACGUAAACUUUGAUCCGAAGAUUUCCGAAUGAGGAAACUCACUUAGAGUAAUGUCUAAGUAUCAUUAAGUGAAUACAUAGCUUAAUGAGGUGAACUCAGGGAACUGAAACAUCUAAGUACCUGAAGGAAGAGAAAGAAAUUCGAUUCCGUAAGUAGCGGCGAGCGAACGCGGAUUAGCCCAAACCAAUAAAGUUUUCUUUAUUGGGGUUGCGGACAUAUCAUAACGAAGAGGUAUCGUAAUUGAAGAGGUUUGGAAAGACCCACCACAGAAGGUAAUAGUCCUGUAUGUUAAACGAGAAGACUUUAGAUAUGAUCCAGAGUACCACGGGACACGUGAAACCCUGUGGGAAGCAGGAGGGACCACCCUCCAAGGCUAAAUACUACCUAGUGACCGAUAGCGUAUAGUACCGUGAGGGAAAGGUGAAAAGAACCCCGGGAGGGGAGUGAAAUAGAACCUGAAACCCUGCACUUACAAGCUGUGGAAGCACAUUUCUUGUGUGACCGCGUACUUUUUGUAGAACGGGCCAACGAGUUACGUUAAGUAGCAAGGUUAAGCACUUAAGGUGCGGAGCCGUAGCGAAAGCGAGUUUUAACUGAGCGUUCAGUUACUUGACGUAGACCCGAAACCGGGCGACCUACCCAUGAGCAGGAUGAAGCGAAAGUAAAAUUUCGUGGAGGUCCGAACCCACGAGCGUUGAAAAGCUCGGGGAUGACUUGUGGGUAGCGGUGAAAUUCCAAUCGAGCCCGGAGAUAGCUGGUUCU
rnacentral:rRNA from 1 species